GAUGAACGCUGGCGGCGUGCCUAAUACAUGCAAGUCGAGUGGACAGAUGAGGAGCUUGCUCCUCUGACGUUAGCGGCGGACGGGUGAGUAACACGUGGAUAACCUACCUAUAAGACUGGGAUAACUUCGGGAAACCGGAGCUAAUACCGGAUAAUAUAUUGAACCGCAUGGUUCAAUAGUGAAAGACGGUUUUGCUGUCACUUAUAGAUGGAUCCGCGCCGCAUUAGCUAGUUGGUAAGGUAACGGCUUACCAAGGCAACGAUGCGUAGCCGACCUGAGAGGGUGAUCGGCCACACUGGAACUGAGACACGGUCCAGACUCCUACGGGAGGCAGCAGUAGGGAAUCUUCCGCAAUGGGCGAAAGCCUGACGGAGCAACGCCGCGUGAGUGAUGAAGGUCUUCGGAUCGUAAAACUCUGUUAUUAGGGAAGAACAAAUGUGUAAGUAACUAUGCACGUCUUGACGGUACCUAAUCAGAAAGCCACGGCUAACUACGUG
rnacentral:rRNA from 1 species